UGGGGAAUAUUGGACAAUGGGCGCAAGCCUGAUCCAGCCAUGCCGCGUGAGUGAUGAAGGCCCUAGGGUUGUAAAGCUCUUUCACCGGUGAAGAUAAUGACGGUAACCGGAGAAGAAGCCCCGGCUAACUUCGUGCCAGCAGCCGCGGUAAUACGAAGGGGGCUAGCGUUGUUCGGAUUUACUGGGCGUAAAGCGCACGUAGGCGGACUAUUAAGUCAGGGGUGAAAUCCCGGGGCUCAACCCCGGAACUGCCUUUGAUACUGGUAGUCUUGAGUUCGAGAGAGGUGAGUGGAAUUCCGAGUGUAGAGGUGAAAUUCGUAGAUAUUCGGAGGAACACCAGUGGCGAAGGCGGCUCACUGGCUCGGUACUGACGCUGAGGUGCGAAAGCGUGGGGAGCAAACAGG
rnacentral:rRNA from 1 species